UACGUAGGGGGCUAGCGUUGUCCGGAAUCAUUGGGCGUAAAGAGCGUGUAGGCGGCCCGGUAAGUCCGCUGUGAAAGUCGGGGGGCUCAACCCUCGAAUGCCGGUGGAUACUGUCGGGCUAGAGUGCGGAAGAGGCGAGUGGAAUUCCUGGUGUAGCGGUGAAAUGCGCAGAUAUCAGGAGGAACACCGGUGGCGAAGGCGGGUCUCUGGGCCGAUACUGACGCUGGAGGAGCGAAAGCGUGGGGAGCGAACAGG
rnacentral:rRNA from 1 species